UACGUAGGGGGCUAGCGUUGUCCGGAUUUAUUGGGCGUAAAGAGCGUGUAGGCGGCCAGGUAGGUCUGCUGUGAAAACUCGAGGCUCAACCUCGAGACGUCGGCGGAAACCAUCUGGCUAGAGUCCGGAAGAGGAGAGUGGAAUUCCUGGUGUAGCGGUGAAAUGCGCAGAUAUCAGGAGGAACACCGGUGGCGAAGGCGGAUCUCUGGGCCUGUUCUGACGCUGAGGAACGAAAGCGUGGGGAGCGAACAGG
rnacentral:rRNA from 1 species